UACAGAGGUCUCAAGCGUUGUUCGGAUUCAUUGGGCGUAAAGGGUGCGUAGGCGGCGCGGUAAGUCGGGUGUGAAAUCUCGGAGCUUAACUCCGAAACUGCAUUCGAUACUGCCGUGCUUGAGGACUGGAGAGGAGACUGGAAUUUUACGGUGGUAGCGGUGAAAUGCGUAGAUAUCGUAAGGAAGACCAGUGGCGAAGGCGGGUCUCUGGACAGUUCCUGACGCUGAGGCACGAAGGCCAGGGGAGCAAACGGG
rnacentral:rRNA from 1 species